CACGUAGGGCGCAAGCGUUGUCCGGAAUUAUUGGGCGUAAAGAGCUCGUAGGCGGACUGUCGCGUCUGCUGUGAAAAGCUGGGGCUUAACCCUGGCCUUGCAGUGGAUACGGGCAGACUAGAGGUAGGUAGGGGAGAAUGGAAUUCCCGGUGUAGCGGUGAAAUGCGCAGAUAUCGGGAGGAACACCGGUGGCGAAGGCGGUUCUCUGGGCCUUACCUGACGCUGAGGAGCGAAAGCGUGGGGAGCGAACAGG
rnacentral:rRNA from 1 species